UCUUGGAGACAGCCAUGAACAACAUAAUCCAUUUCAAUGAAAAUAAAAGUCACAUCCAGAAUAUGUUAAAUUUUAACAUUUGUAUAUUUAUUCAACACUAAGGCCAAAGCAAUGAGAUGAAAGGCGACACAUUUUGGUCCCUGUAGUGUACUGUGAUUUCGUUGUUGGAACCGAUCAGCAAAGUUCAGCAUGAUAAAUACAGGUGUGGCAUUUCUUUGCAGCUACAACAGAGCUGGCAUUUAAAAGCCUGAGGAAUUCUGGCAAACCUUGAGCUUUCCAAAGGAAAAGAGUAUUAAAUGUGGACUCAUGCUGCUUCGACACUGGGUCCAACUGCAUUGCUUUCAAGAAGAGAAUAUUUUGAAAGGUAUAAGCAAUAACUGAGAUACAAAAACAAAAUGUUUCUAACUCUAGCAUUUGGAAGCCCUCACAAGCAAUUCCUUUUCAGCUGACAAAUGCAAUUAAUAAAAUGUUAUGCUGAUUG